CACAGUUUUCGACGGACGGGCAAAGGCACAGGUCCGGCAGAAAGCUAAAAGUAGUGGAUUUAAAUAUCCUGUUGGUCUUCAUUUUUGCUUGGAAGCUACAGCAAGAAGACCUCCUUUUUGCUCGUGGGUGGCAGAGGUGAAGCGAACAGUCCCCCCUCUUUUGAAAUGGAACAAGUGCGUCCUUCCACUUCUCAAGUGCCACAACCAGCUACGCAUGAAGAAUCCUUGAUUGUGACAGGCGCAGGAGCGAUCCAAGUGGAGAUAUCCACCCACAGAACGCACCUGCUCCGUCCUGCAUGAUGCGGGAGUUUCUGGCAGUUGUUUUAUUUUCUGAUUUGUACAGCGAAUGUGACAUUCUGGAUGGGCAGAAAGGAACGUUUCGUCGCCGACGUCGAAACAGCGGUUCUUUUGAGUGUCACCGCGCGUUCCGUAAAUCGCGUUUUCCCAGAAUGCAGCGUAUCGCUUGCGAUGUGUGUCGAACUUCUCUACUCGUGCGCAUUUGAAAGACCAGUAACAACGGCACAAAAAGAUCAUUCGCUUCCGCUGUCUCCUUCCCUGUGUUCGCAUGAAAAGUCCAACCUUGUGUACAACCUGUUCAUACAUCGUGGCGUCCGCUUUAGUUGCCGGUUCGUCUUUUAGUUCUUGCUUAUCUCUACGGAAUUCUUCCCGGUUCCGUCACCUCACACACGAGGGCCUGAAGGCAUCUUCUCGCCACCUGUGUUCGCCUCAGAGACGGUGUCCGAGAACUGAAAGUGGAGGAUUCCAAUUCAAAC
rnacentral:lncRNA from 1 species